rnacentral:ncRNA from 1 species
AUAAAGUUUUAUUUUGGCUUAAAAAUUUGUUAUUAAUUUAUUUUAUAUGUAAAUUUUUGUGUGAGUUUUUAUUUAUUUUAAUAAUAAAUAAAUUUUAUAUUAGUCGCAGUAGUUAAUAUUAUUAAUUAAAGAAAUUUAGAAAUAGAAAUAUUAAUUAGUAUUGGCAAAAUUUGUGCCAGCAGUCGCGGUUAUACAAAUAAUACAAAUGAAUUUAAUUAGUAAGAGUUAAAUUGAAUAAAAAAUAGAUAAUUAAAUUUAUUAGGUAAAAUUUUAAAUUUAUAGUAUAUUUUUAUAAGAUAAUUGAAGCUCAGAAAUUUCAGAUUUAAACUAGGAUUAGAUACCCUAUUAUUUGAAAUGUAAUUUAUUUACUAAAGUAGUAAUAGUUAUGUUCUUGAAACUUAAAAAAUUUGGCGGUAUUUUAGUCUAUUCAGAGGAACCUGUCCUGUAAUCGAUAAUCCACGUUGGACCUCACUUAAGUUUGUUAUCAGUUUGUAUACCGUCGUUAUAAGAAUAUUUUAUAAGAAUAAUAAUUUUCUAGUUUUUUUAUAAAAAGUUAUAUCAGAUCAAGGUGCAGCUUAUAUUUAAGUAGAGAUGGGUUACAAUAAUUGUAUUUAUAUGGAUUAAUUUUUGAAAUAAAAUUAUAAAAGUGGAUUUGAAUGUAAAAUUAUAAAGAUAAAUAAUUUGAUUUUAGCUCUAAAAUAUGUACACAUCGCCCGUCACUCUUAUUAUUAAGGUAAGAUAAGUCGUAACAUAGUAGAUGUACUGGAAAGUGUAUCUAGAAUG